rnacentral:tRNA from 1 species
AUUUAUAUAGUAUAAAAAUUAUUUUUAACUUCCAAUUAAAAGAUCUAAUAAUUAUAAUUAGUAUAAAUA